GGAAAGCGCUGCGGGGAAGGGCCGUUUGACGUCAUUCGAAGCCCUCGGGUGAAGUUCAAAGCAGCUGCAACCUAAUAUUUACCGGGAACGCGUGGCAUGGUGUUCCCAUUGUUCGCAGGCACCU
rnacentral:lncRNA from 1 species